GGUGCAAAAAAUCCACUUUCAGUACCCUCUUUAAGUUUUGACCAUCAAUUGGCCUUACAAACUCUUUGAUAGUCUUCCAGUUCCUCACAUGGCUGAGAAAAUACUCAUCAGUUCUCAUGCUGUCUGCAAAUUGUUUUCCUCAAACUAUUUUUCUUUUCAGGCCUGAGGUAUUGUGCUUUAAAGUGAAAGUUUGUGGCCACUUCUGUUUUCUGCCUCUGAGCAUAACUUCCACUUUUUGAGGGCUACCUUAAUCCCCCCCCAUCAGAAUAAUUAUUUUGGAUCUCUUCUUAGCCUUUCCUAAUCGGUAAUAAUGUAUGAUCUCCGACGCAAUGUCUUCAAAUGUUCUCCCUGCAACUUGAAAAUAUUUUUAUUUUUAUAGCUGCCCCAUUAGUUUCUCUUUACCUUAGGCUUUACUUAGGAAUACAAAGAUUUUAGAUCUUUACUUCUACAGUAUGCAUCACCCCAAACUAGGCCCUUUUUCACACUUGUUGGCUUUUCUGUAAUUCUUAGGUUCAACUCUCUUGUAUCUUUUCUUUUUUUGCAAUUGUAAAUGUCAGCAGACUGAUUGCAUGUUGCUUAUGAGGAAGGCCAUGCCUCCUCUCUAGGUUCCUUCUGUUUUACAUGUUUCUAUAGUUCCUAGUGAUUUGGAAUUCCUCUUUCUUGCACCAUUUUCUCAGCCAUGCAUGGUCACUCCGCACCUCUGGUCCUCUGUGUGGUAGUGAGAAGAGCCUCUGUGUGCAAGUGAGAAUGAGAGAGAGAAGUGUCUGAAGUGCAAAAUUAAGAGACCAACUUCAGGAAGGCUCAAUUAGUGCAACCCCCAGGUAGUUACCUGGCAAUGGUAUUUGCGGAAACAGGAAGACAGAAGAUAGAAGCAGGCUUAAAGCCUUGUGGAAUUAAGGCUCCUUCUCAUCAGUUCCAACUUGGAGCAAUUUUAGGAGGAUGUAAUUUCCUCCAGCAGUGUUAACAUGGCUUUGCCAGUAGCAGCAGACCAUGGUGGAAAUGACUGGAAGGAAGUCGGGAACGGAGCUGGAACAAGGAAUGUGACGCUGCUUUCACUAACCGGGAGCUGCUGUUCUGAGGGCCAGCAACUCAAAGAGGAGCAGCUCAGCCCAUUUUGUUGCUUUCAGUGAUCCUGUUUUGAGGAAGCAUGUAAGUACGGAAGGGGUCUGGGAGGGUUUUCAAACAAGACAGGAAAGAGCAAGGAAGAUUUGAGAGCAGAGAGAAACCAGGUGCCAUGGGUACUGAAGUUGUUAAGGGCUGAGGGCAUUUGGGGUUAAGCAUCUGAAAGGGGCUAAUGCACAAGGAGUAGUAAAAUACCAUGACUGAACACAAGGUUCCUCCCCCGUCUGGGCCUGUGCAUGCACGCUGGCUCUUGCAGACGCAGACACCCCGGAGCUGUAGGGAAACAGGUAAGCAGGCCCAGAAGCGGACUUUGGGCACAGCAGUGUGCAGAGACCUCUUUGUGCUUGGCAGGCGAGUGGGGCUGGAGCGUGGCAAGUGCUGUUCUGGGCUGUCCAGAUCCAUCCAGUUCCACUCCCUGUCCCUCUGUCCAGCGCGCCAUCCUUCUCUUUCUUUCCCCAUGGCUCUGUCCGGUGCCGAUCCCUUUGUUUAGCUACUCAUUCCUCUGCCAGCUCCCCAUCCCUCUUGUACUCUUUCCAUCCCUCUGUCAGUAUUUAUGUCCCUCUAACUGGCUCCCUAUCACUCUAUCCAGCUUUUCAGCAUCCUCUUCCUCUCCCUAUCCCGCUACCUGCCUGCUGUCCUUCUGUCCAGCUCCCCAUCCGUCUGCCACUCUCAUCUGUCUCUCUGUACUUCUCUUUGCCUUCCUGGCCCUCUGCCCGCCUCUCCAGCCCUCUCUCUCUAGUUCCAUCCCUCUGUUCAGCUCCUCAUCCAUCUGUUUGCCUCCCUGUCCCUCUUUUCCCCUGUUCUAUCCCAUCUCUCUGUCUGAAUUCCCCUCCCUCUUUUUCUCUCUCUACCCUUCUGGCCAGCUAGUCAUCAUUUUCAUUCUCUUUCCAUCACUCUGACCGGCUCCCUGUCCCUCUUUUCCAGUCCCUCUUCUUCUGUUUGAUUCUCUUCCCUUCUCUUUUGCUCCCUGUCCCUCUGCCUGCCUCCCCUUCCCUCCUUGCCCCUCUUUAUUCUUCUGCCCACCUCCCCUUCCCUCUUUUGCUCUCUUCUGCUCCCCAGUCCUCUGUGCAGCCCCCCAUCCAUCUGUGUGGCCUUCUAGCCCUCUCCUUCUAGUCCUUCUAGUCCAGCACCCUGACCCUGGGGCCAGGUUUCUGUCCUUCUCUUUCUUUCUCCAUCCCUCUGCCAAGCUCUCUACCCCUCUUUUCUUCUGUUCUGCUCCCUGUCCCUGUGUCCAGCUGAAGGUCUGUCAUUUCUGUGUGUUUUGUCUAGUGUGGCAGGUGCCAAGAGGUGGUUGGUGCUCAGCAGAGAGAAUGAUCAGCAGCACCCAGAGGGUGCCAUCGGUCUGCCUGGUUCGGGUCACAUCAGACACCGCUGCAGUGACUCUGCCUGCAGAGGCACAGGGCUGUGGCUGUGCAGUGGGGGAAGCACGAAUGGGCCAGAGAUGCUGUGGGGUAUGUAGUAGACAGCAAAGAGGCUCCUGGGGAAGGUGUCGUGGAGGCAGAGAGCAGCAGAGGCUCCAAGUACUCGGGUGUUAGGACAGGUGCCUGCGGUAGGGCGGUCUGGAGCUGCUGCUGUUGUCGACUGCUUCUCGUCAGUGCAGUCUGCAGUUACCACAUCUUGUCCGCCUGUGUGCAGACGGGGCUGCCACGCGGUGCAGCUUGAGUCAUGAUCACAACGCCAGCAUCGAGCCCAGUUUUCUGUCAGGUCUGCCUUGAUGCAAACUGGUGUCUUCCCUACAUCUCCAGCUCAACCCAUGUUGUUGAUCUAGUGCUUCCCAAGGGGCUGUGCUGUGCUGUCAACACCCCCACUGCCCUCCCCACUGUCGCUUGCUGAUGAAGAAUGCUUGGAGUUUAUCUUAGCAAGUGCGAUCAUUUACAUAGCUUCUGGCUCAUUUCUUUCCUUGGAACUCCUUGCUUUUUGCUGCUCUGGCCCCCUCCAAACAAUUUCUGCUUCUAGUAUUAUUAAUGUUGGGCCACACACCUUCCAGGUGGCUUCUUUCUUUGAAGCCCAGGGGUUCCAGUAUUGUUUGUGCUUUGAGAGUAAAGGUCCUUCACAACUGAUGUCUUAAGUACGCAACUGUCUUACCUGGACUUUUUGCUUUCACAAGUUAUGGUUUCUUUCAGGAGCCAGCUACAAAAGUAACUUUGCUAUAGCAGAGAAAUGGGGUUACAUGUGUACAAGCAACAGCACCAUAGUACACAGCGAAAGCAUAACCUACAGUACCAGUAGCACGAGUCGGUUUCCCAUCAGCUCCAUCUCUCCAGAGUAUGGAGCUUUUGGAGGCCUUAGUUUCUAUCCUGCCUUGGCUGGGCAGUGCUUUCUGAGAGUGUCCGUCAGAGGCAGAGUUUCCCUGAGGAGAGGACCAUCUAGCGAAGGCUGGAGGUAGCCGGGUGCCUGAGUGAGCCUGACUGUCCAUGAGAGCUGCUCUGACAUCUUGCUGAUGAAAUGGAGCCAGAGAGGGUGACUGAAGCAGCACGGAGGGUCGGUCACAACUGUGGGAACAAUCACAGGCCUUGGACUAGGGAGUAGGUCUGUAAGGGCUGUGCAGUUGCCUGGCCUCUCAGGAACUGCUCUGACCUCUUUGCAGGUGCCAAAGCCCAGCUGGGCAGUCAAAGGAGCCUGGUCACAGCUGGGAGCUCUGCAGAGAUGCGCGGCCGGCCGUGGAGGAUGAGCUCUGACUUGCAGUGUGGACACAGCUAAGUCCUGGGCUGCAUCGUAUGUGAGCGGGGCUGGGAGGUGUGAGGCAGUUGUCCCCUGGGUGUGGUCACUGGCGUCGCUGGCUGUGGCUGUUUGCCCACGGAGCUGAGAGGACCAAACAUACUAAUUGCCUGACCCGGAGAUGAAUUAGUGCUUGCAGGCUUUCAGGUAGGUGCAGUGGAAGUGCAGCUUAGUGCAGUCCUGUGGAGUGAUUCUUGCACAUGCUCACAUUUGAAUGGUGGCUAAAAAACAAGCCUAUAAACAGCAACUGUAACACGAUCCUGGUGUGUGUCUUCCUGUUCUGCUAUGCUUCUAAAAGAAGGGGAAACUUCCUAAGCUGCGGGAAAAACUCCUUGGCUUCUCUUUACUGUUUUCAUGCUCAUGAGUGCUUUGGUGUUUCUUGCUUAAAGCCGAGGGUUUGGGAUUUUUCACUUAAGGUUUAUUGUUUAGUUUGUUGUUGAGGGUCUCUCACUCAGAAGUUAUGGGUUAUUACUUUAUUUUGUGGGGCUCAGCCUUUAUCAGUCAAGGGUUACGGUUUGCUCAUUUAGCGAUCAGGGCACAGAACUUAAAAUCCAACCCCAUCCGUAAAUUUUAAAGCUUUGGCAACCACUGGGGUUCUAAGACUUGCAGUUUGUCACUUAACAUUCAGGCUUAUGACUUGCUGAUAAAGGAAAAGGGCUAAAUCCUUAGAUAAUAAACUGUAAGCCCCGAAGGCUAAGCAGCAGGCUGUGAACCCUUCUUUGGGCUUGGUAACCUUCCCCCUGUACCCAGCAUUCAGCUCUGCACUGACCUGAGUGCUGGAUUGCAUAUGGCGCUGGCCUAUCACAGAGACUGGCAAUGUGAUGGGUGAGCUGAGAGCUGUGGAAGUGUCUUGCAGGGCAGAAGUGCAGACAGGUGGGAUCAGGCAUUUUCCUCUCAACUCUCAGAGCUGAAUCCUAUCCCUGAAGGAAAAAGCAGAGGAGUAGGCUGUCAGCUACUCAGACACCUGCCAUGUCAAGGGCAGCAGCAGGAGCUGACCCUUCCCUGACAAACAGAUGGAUGCUGGUGUGGUGAUGACUCUUCAGGUAUCACAGGUAAGGGAAAGCAUGCUGGCACCAAGCUCCAUGGCAGACUUGCUUUCAGGUGUUGUUUCUGCACAGUAAAACAAUAAACAGUUGCUUUAUUCUUUG